rnacentral:rRNA from 1 species
GACGAACGCUGGCGGCGUGCUUAACACAUGCAAGUCGAACGGAAAGGCCUCUUUCGGGGGGUACUCGAGUGGCGAACGGGUGAGUAACACGUGAGUAACCUGCCCUUGACUUUGGGAUAACUUCAGGAAACUGGGGCUAAUACCGGAUAGGAGCUCCUGCUGCAUGGUGGGGGUUGGAAAGUUUCGGCGGUUGGGGAUGGACUCGCGGCUUAUCAGCUUGUUGGUGGGGUAGUGGCUUACCAAGGCUUUGACGGGUAGCCGGCCUGAGAGGGUGACCGGCCACAUUGGGACUGAGAUACGGCCCAGACUCCUACGGGAGGCAGCGGUGGGGAAUAUUGCACAAUGGGUGGAAGCCUGAUGCAGCAACGCCGUGUGCGGGAUGACGGCCUUCGGGUUGUAAACCGCUUUCGCUCAUGACGAAGCUUUGUGUGACGGUAGUGGGUAAAGAAGCACCGGCUAACUACGUA